UUGUUACGACAGGGACACAAUUACAAAGGCUGAGACUGGAAUUUGUCCGUGAAGCAGACAUUAUUCAUGAUGUGUUUUUCAAGGCAUAAACAGGGACCACAUAAUGCAACGAAUCUGUAGUGUAUUCAUCCUUCAAGUAGUUCUCUUAUGGACAUUUCAUUGUCAUUGGACAUUGAGCUCCACUUUUCGAAUUGUUCCCGUGGAAGUUUGCCCAGAAAAUGAACCAGAUGUCAAAGAGGCCUCUGAGAAACUUAAUUGUUGCUUUGGUUUCCACGGGGCUAAAAAUAAGUAUCACUGUGCCCCCUUCUCAAACUUCACACAGCUUCUCGAGUUUUGUUGUCCGAAAACAAGUGGAUUAAUAGAAAAAGGACCUUGAGGGAUACACUCUGGAUGAUCGGAAUUGCCAUCGUCUUAAGAAUGGCUGUUCAGACACACAUUAUACUUCUGAGACAAUGUACACAUGAUGUUUCUCUCAUGUCGGGACGUCACCAGCUUCAGUUCCACAAAUUUCGACCUGUAUGUGACAUCAUGGAUUUUAGAAGUGAGGGUUUCCAGUUAUCUUCAACAAGGUUGUGUAGUCUAAAGCAGGUCUCGAUAAUUCUUGAACACUUCAGAAGAGAAAAAGGUAGACAACCACCUGUUUGAUGCAAGCACCUUUGAAUAGGAAAAAUUUACCAAACUGUUUUACACAAAAUGUAUUAUAGCAUCAUGAUUUUUCAAGUAUACAAUCUAAUGCACUUUGUAUUAUUUGAUAGAACUAUGUCAUUUAUCAAUGAACUGCAUUAAAUUCGACAUAAUUUCAGUAAAUGUCAAUGGCAGAUCCACAAUGUCCACACACAAAGGGGGGGGGGGGUACAUGUGAAAGUCAAGUAUUGGCCAAAAUACUCGGCCAUUUUGUGUACCACAUCUAUAGUGUCAAUCACAUUAUUUCUGUUUUUAAAUUCAGAUUUUUAUUCAUAUUGUGUAUAAAUAUAGAUCGA